rnacentral:rRNA from 1 species
CCUACGGGGGGCAGCAGUGGGGAAUAUUGGACAAUGGGGGAAACCCUGAUCCAGCGACGCCGCGUGAGUGAAGAAGUAUUUCGGUACGUAAAGCUCUAUCAGCAGGAAAGAAAAUGACGGUACCUGACUAAGAAGCCCCGGCUAACUACGUGCCAGCAGCCGCGGUCAUACAUAGGGGGCAAGCGUUAUCCGGAUUUACUGGGUGGAAAGGGAGCGUAGACGGCAGCGCAAGUCUGGAGUGAAAUGCCGGGGCCCAACCCCGGAACUGCUCUGGAAACUGUGAAGCUGGAGUGCAGGAGAGGUAAGCGGAAUUCCUGGUGUAGCGGUGAAAUGCGUAGAUAUCAGGAGGAACACCGGCGGCGAAGGCGGCUUACUGGACUGUAACUGACGUUGAGGCUCGAAGGCGUGGGGAGCAAACAGGAUUUAGAUACCCCUGUAGUC